GAUGUCCCCUCACGUUGAUCUCCAUGCAGAGCAUCGAAGCCACCACUUAACUUUGCAGUGCACCAGAGGCAACGAUCACCACUGGGAGCAGUGGUCACCCUGGACAACUAGCCUUCAGCCCUGUGAGAUCCCCUCUGUCCCCAAUACAAGGUGGCAGCUUACAUUAACACUAUGGAGAUGUCUGUCUGUCCUAAGGGAAUGGUGUGUGGGUGUGCGUCUCUUUUCUCUGUUUCAUUCCUCCCUUGGGAUGCAACACCACUGUGUUGGAACUGGUCAGCUCCAGGGAGUCUGUAGCCCAAGAAAGCAAGAGUGAGAAAAAGGGAUAGAUAGGGAUCUGCCCCUCUUCCUUGUGACUGUUUCACACGUGGACCUUAGUAAAGGUGGGAGGUUGAAUCUGAUGGAUAACACUUCUGGGGUCUUCUCUCCCUGCCCAAGAUCAACGGGGAACAUCAUCUCCUGCCUUGCCCAAGCCAAUGAGAAGAUGGUGAAUUCUAGAUAGACGCAAACCCACAAACACACGUACACACAGCACCCUCACCUUCCCUCCCUUCAGGUUGUCCCCAGGCCCCAGCACCAGCCCCACGAGGCAGGGGGAUCUGCAAGGACCUUGACUCCAGUUUCCACUGGCAGAAGGGGCAACACCAUAUCCUGUGUCAGGGAUGGGGGGGUUGCUGUCAAGUCUCUGAGUUCAGUCUGUGCCUGAAGUUGUUCACCUGAUCCUAAGCUGAAUCGGGAGUCCCUGUGGAGCUAUUACAUAAGACAUAGAACUGUUCCAAUGGAAGCUGACAGGACAGGAAUCUUUCCAGUGUUCAGGGAGGGGAGCAGAGAAGACCAGGGUGGGGCUGGGAUUAUAUCCAGCCUGGAGCAUUGGGCACCUCUGUGGCAAUGAUCCAAGGCAAAAUCGGGAUGCCUGCUGGGUGUUGUAGAUCCAAGUCCAGAUCAGCAAGGCCAGGCUGCAGUUUGGGUGGAGAUUCAGCACAAGAGACCCAGCUUAAAGCAGCUCCUUGGAACAGGGAUCAACCUUGACCACGACCUCUCUGCAGCAUGAGCUGGGAGCCCUCUCCCUAUUAUCAUCAGCAAGCUGGGGAAAGCCUUGAUUAUGCUGAGCCUGGUACCAAAUCUGCACGAGAGGGAAUAAUCAGAGUCCCUACAGCCACAGAAACCAACAUGGCACAUCCAGUUCUCCUUUUACAGAUUUUUGCUCCAGGAAGAACCCUGCCAUGGGUCUGUCUGGUACAUGGCACAAGACCCUUGGUCUCCUAUGUAUCCCUUCGUCUCUUCAGGAUAAAACACCCAGUGCAUCUGGGCCUGCUCUCUUGGAAGUCUCUUUCAAAUCAAAUCUACAAGAAGACUGAAAGACAUUUGUAAUUUUUCCUCCAAAAACAGUACAUCCCAACAGAAUUAGGCUAUCUGUGGACCCACCCACUUGCUGUGGGCCCACUCUAUUAAUCUGAGUAGCCAUUAAGAACUAGAUAGCCUUACAUUUUUCACAUCUUGGCAAGUCAAAUGCAAAUGAUCUUGAAAAUGAUUAAACUGUUCUUGUAAUUUUUCAAAUAGAGGAUAGUAAAAUAUUAAACAUGAUUCUGCAUAUCAAACAGAAGUUGAUUAACUUCUAAGAGAAUCUUCUAAGAGAUAUAAAUAUUUUACAUUUUAUAAAUAUUUUAUCUGAUUAAGGGAUUGGUUGCUGCUGGCAUCUACACCAGCCAAUCUCUGUUCAUCUCAGGCAGUUCAUGGCAAACCAUUGCAGCCUGUGUAAUUUCAGAGCAGCUGGGUGUCACAAGAUGUUCUUGCAUGAGGACAACGGUGAAGUUUGCAACAACCCCAACAAGCACCUCAGCAGCUGGGAGGGAUGAGGAGCAACGCCAGCACCCUCAUGCAGAAGGGUGACUUUCUGAUUGGUCGAGAGGAGAGGUAUCAGCAGGGAUAAGUACAUGUCCCACCCCUCAGCAAUGGUAUAAAAAUGUUAUAUUUAGGGCAAAGCUGUACACAAGGGAUUCCUGUUGGGUGUCUUCGUGUUCGAACACCAAAGCGUUCAUCAGAAGAAAAGUGUUGGAUGCAUGAAGGAUGGGGGGAAUUUAUCAGCUCCACAACUUUCAGUGCCUUGUGAAGACCUGCUCCAGGCAUGAAGAUCCUGUACCUGCUAUUCCCCUUCUUCCUCUUGUUUCUCCAGAGUGCUGCAGCAUAUGGGGUUGAUGCCCUGAAUUUUGUGAGGACAUUGCCCUGGAAACACCUCUGUUGACCUCUCCCCUUCCCACCUCUGCAGUCUCACAUGGUGUGACUGUGGCAGUGGAAGCUGAAGACAUCCCAGCGUGGGCCUGCAGUUGUUUGCCCAGAUGCUGCUUUUCCCUGCUGAAUAAAGGCGUGCAGUUUGGCAUUGCAGCUGAUGGAGAGCGUGAGUGUGUCCUUGUGCCAGAAGGUGCUCUUCCCCAUCAGCACCAUGGGGAUGCCAGAGCUGGCAGUUCCUGUGUGACCUUAGGGUUUGCUGCAGGUGAAGAAGGUUCAGAAUGAUGCUCCUCGCUGGGGAUGGCAAGCAGGAACCCUGUGCUGGUUCUCUCAGGCACGGGUGUCCCUCAUCCCUGGCAGCCACAGGCACUGGCUGCAUGCAGA